GAAUUGACGGGGGCCCGCACAAGCGGUGGAGCAUGUGGUUUAAUUCGAUGCAACGCGAAGAACCUUACCUGGUCUUGACAUCCACGGAAGUUUUCAGAGAUGAGAAUGUGCCUUCGGGAACCGUGAGACAGGUGCUGCAUGGCUGUCGUCAGCUCGUGUUGUGAAAUGUUGGGUUAAGUCCCGCAACGAGCGCAACCCUUAUCCUUUGUUGCCAGCGGUCCGGCCGGGAACUCAAAGGAGACUGCCAGUGAUAAACUGGAGGAAGGUGGGGAUGACGUCAAGUCAUCAUGGCCCUUACGACCAGGGCUACACACGUGCUACAAUGGCGCAUACAAAGAGAAGCGACCUCGCGAGAGCAAGCGGACCUCAUAAAGUGCGUCGUAGUCCGGAUUGGAGUCUGCAACUCGACUCCAUGAAGUCGGAAUCGCUAGUAAUCGUGGAUCAGAAUGCCACGGUGAAUACGUUCCCGGGCCUUGUACACACCGCCCGUCACACCAUGGGAGUGGGUUGCAAAA
rnacentral:rRNA from 1 species